rnacentral:rRNA from 1 species
AUGUCAAGUAUCUUUUCCUUAGACCAUGAGAUCGUGCAACUCCCGGAUACCGUAGGAGUGCUUUGGGUGUGCCAAACGUCACAACGUAACUGGGUGACUAUAAAGGUGCAUUACGGGUAUCUCCGAAAGUGUCUGUUGGGUUGGCACGGAUCGAGACUGGAUUUGUCACUCCGUGUGACGGAGAGGUAUCUCUGGGCCCACUCGGUAAUGCAUCAUCAUAAUGAGCUCAAUGUGACUAAGGCGUUAGUCACGGGAUCAUGCAUUGCGGUACGAGUAAGAGACUUGCCGGUAACGAGAUUGAACAAGGUAUUGGGAUACCGACGAUCGAAUCUCGGGCAAGUAACGUACCGUUUGACAAAGGGAAUUGCAUACGGGAUUGAUUGA